AGUGAACGCUGGCGGUAGGCCUAACACAUGCAAGUCGAACGGCAGCACAGUAAGAGCUUGCUCUUACGGGUGGCGAGUGGCGGACGAGUGAGGAAUACAUCGGAAUCUACUUUUUCGUGGGGGAUAACGUAGGGAAACUUACGCUAAUACCGCAUACGACCUACGGGUGAAAGCAGGGGAUCUUCGGACCUUGCGCGAUUGAAUGAGCCGAUGUCGGAUUAGCUAGUUGGCGGGGUAAAGGCCCGCCAAGGCGACGAUCCGUAGCUGGUCUGAGAGGAUGAUCAGCCACACUGGAACUGAGACACGGUCCAGACUCCUACGGGAGGCAGCAGUGGGGAAUAUUGGACAAUGGGCGCAAGCCUGAUCCAGCCAUACCGCGUGGGUGAAGAAGGCCUUCGGGUUGUAAAGCCCUUUUGUUGGGAAAGAAAAGCAGCAGGUUAAUACCCCGCUGUUCUGACGGUACCCAAAGAAUAAGCACCGGCUAACUUCGUG
rnacentral:rRNA from 1 species